GAUGAACGCUGGCGGUAUGCUUAACACAUGCAAGUCGAACGGACUCUUCGGAGUUAGUGGCGGACGGGUGGGUAACGCGUGAGAAUCUGGCUUUGGGUUCGGGACACCCACUGGAAACGGUGGCUAAUACAGGUUGUGCCGAGAGGUAAAAGGGAAAUUGCCUGAAGAUGAGCUCGCGUCUGAUUAGCUAGUUGGUGAGGUAAAGGCCCAACAAGGCAGCGAUCAGUAGCUGGUCUGAGGGGAUGAGCAGCCACACGGGGACUGAGACACGGCCCAGACUCCUGCGGGAGGCAGCAGUGGAGAAUUUUCCGCAAGGGGCGAGAGCCUGACGGCAAAAUACCGCGUGAGAGAAGGAGGUUCUUGGGUUGUAAACCUCUUUUCUGAGGGAAGAACAAAAUGACGGUACCUAAGGAAUCAGCACCGGCUAACUACGUG
rnacentral:rRNA from 1 species